UAAAUCAGUUAUCGUUUAUUUGAUAGUACCUUACUACUUGGAUAACCGUGGUAAUUCUAGAGCUAAUACAUGCUGAAAACCCCGACUUCGGAAGGGGUGUAUUUAUUAGAUAAAAAACCAAUGCCCUUCGGGGCUCCUUGGUGAUUCAUAAUAACUUCUCAGAUCGCAUGGCCUUGCGCCGGCGACGGUUCAUUCAAAUUUCUGCCCUAUCAACUUUCGAUGGUAAGGUAUUGGCUUACCAUGGUUUCAACGGGUAACGGGGAAUUAGGGUUCGAUUCCGGAGAGGGAGCCUGAGAAACGGCUACCACAUCCAAGGAAGGCAGCAGGCGCGCAAAUUACCCAAUCCCGACACGGGGAGGUAGUGACAAUAAAUACUGAUACAGGGCUCUUUUGGGUCUUGUAAUUGGAAUGAGUACAAUUUAAACCUCUUAACGAGGAACAAUUGGAGGGCAAGUCUGGUGCCAGCAGCCGCGGUAAUUCCAGCUCCAAUAGCGUAUAUUAAAGUUGUUGCAGUUAAAAAGCUCGUAGUUGAACCUUUGGCCUGGCUGGCAGGUCCGCCUCACCGCGUGCACUUGUCCGGCCGGGCCUUCUCUUCUGGAGAACCGCAUGCCCUUCACUGGGUGUGUUGGGGACCAGGACUUUUACUUUGAAAAAAUUAGAGUGUUCAAAGCAGGCCUUUGCUCGAAUACGUUAGCAUGGAAUAAUAGAAUAGGACGUGCGGUCCUAUUUUGUUGGUUUCUAGGACCGCCGUAAUGAUUAAUAGGGACAGUCGGGGGCAUCAGUAUUCAAUUGUCAGAGGUGAAAUUCUUGGAUUUAUUGAAGACUAACUACUGCGAAAGCAUUUGCCAAGGAUGUUUUCAUUAAUCAGUGAACGAAAGUUAGGGGAUCGAAGACGAUCAGAUACCGUCGUAGUCUUAACCAUAAACUAUGCCGACUAGGGAUCG
rnacentral:rRNA from 1 species